UACAGAGGGGGGCAAGCGUUGUUCGGAAUUACUGGGCGUAAAGGGUGCGUAGGCGGCGCGGUAAGUCGGGUGUGAAAUCUCGGAGCUUAACUCCGAAACUGCAUUCGAUACUGCCGUGCUUGAGGACUGGAGAGGAGACUGGAAUUUACGGUGUAGCGGUGAAAUGCGUAGAUAUCGUAAGGAAGACCAGUGGCGAAGGCGGGUCUCUGGACAGUUCCUGACGCUGAGGCACGAAGGUCAGGGGAGCAAACGGG
rnacentral:rRNA from 1 species